GUAGGGAAUCUUGCGCAAUGGGCGAAAGCCUGACGCAGCCAUGCCGCGUGAAUGAUGAAGGUCUUAGGAUUGUAAAAUUCUUUCACCGGGGACGAUAAUGACGGUACCCGGAGAAGAAGCCCCGGCUAACUUCGUGCCAGCAGCCGCGGUAAUACGAAGGGGGCUAGCGUUGCUCGGAAUUACUGGGCGUAAAGGGAGCGUAGGCGGAUAGUUUAGUCAGAGGUGAAAGCCCAGGGCUCAACCUUGGAAUUGCCUUUGAUACUGGCUAUCUUGAGUAUGGAAGAGGUAUGUGGAACUCCGAGUGUAGAGGUGAAAUUCGUAGAUAUUCGGAAGAACACCAGUGGCGAAGGCGACAUACUGGUCCAUUACUGACGCUGGGGCUCGAAAGCGUGGGGAGCAAACAGGAUUAGAAACCCCGGUAGUCC
rnacentral:rRNA from 1 species